rnacentral:lncRNA from 1 species
AUGUUUGUAAUAUGCCUUGCACAAUCACUCCCGGCAGGGCCACGGCAUAUGUUGCACUUCAUGUUUUCUCUCAUAACUCACGAAAACGGAUUUCACUUAAAAUCCUGCCGCUCCAGUGGAAGCACCCCACGUACAGCAACACCGCUAAAUCACUCUUAUUGCAUCUCCUUCCUCCCAGCCUCCACUCCCCCCCCCCGAGCACCUUACAUUGCACGCCAUAAAUCCCAGGAAGGCACAACCACAGACAAGCGGAAAGCUCAGGACCCCAUUCAUGCCAGGGUGAACUCCUCCAGCAUAAGGACAACCUGCUUCAACACACAUGAAAGGGUGCCUGCAUUGCCUCCUGCUCCUCACUCUUCUUCCAACCCUUUACUCCACGGAUUUCUCCUGCCUAACCUCCCAAUGCCUCUCAUCAACUCCACCUUUCCUUCCUUUUAGGACUCUUUUGCUAAAGGGAAGCAGUAUGGGGAACAUUUUAUUGCCAAUAAGCCUCCCCCUGCGUGAAGAAGAGACUUGGUGAUGGCAUUCCAAAAUUAUCACUUUGGAAGUGUUGUCAUGGCUGCUACAGAGAUCCCAGCUGACACAGCAAUGAUUUACUCAUUUCUUCAGCCUUCCUUGCUGCCAUACCACAGCCCACAAGAAUGGGGAAAGUAUCAAUGGCAGAGUGCCAGAUAAACCUCCUAAGUAAGAAGGGGAAGGGAAGAGAACCAGUGUUUCACAUCCUCUUGAUGGUAUUGUAGAGGAUGAACAAAGCAAGAAGAGGGGAGCUCGCCGACAAGGUGUGGUUUUUUUUUUUUUUUUUUUUUAUUGAAAGGGGCAGAAGACAGAAUCGAACCGCAGAAAAUUAAAAGCUACAACAACAGUAAUGAAAAAAGCCUGCAGAAGGGGCUUCUGGAGUGGAGACAGAAGCAGAGAGCUGGUGCAGGAUGUGCCUGUGGCUUGUUCCUGUGCAGUACGUCAGCCCCAGUCCUGUUGUGCUCUAGAGUCCACAGGGACAAGCUCUUAUUGAGGACAGCAGUACCCACGCCAAAACACAAGCCAGAAGCUCUUUCCUUCCUCCUGCAAGGCUACAGCAACAAAACCAGCAAAAGCCCUGUGACUCCCACGCUUGUAUUCAGGCAAGGCCAUCAGACAGAAGUGCCACAUCUGAGAGCUGUGCCACAACACCCACCUGGGAGCUUUGCAGCCUUGCUGGGUGCACCCAGCAGCUAUUCAAGUGCUUUACAGUACAGAUUUUGCCAACAGUGCUUCACAGACUCUUCCGUGGAUGAGUCCAUGACUCGGCUGUUGGAAAAUUUUGCCUGGGUUUGCCUGAUAGGAGGUUUCACUACUUGCAGUAUUUGAUUUUCAGUAAAGGCUAUUUUUGACAAAAGUGUUAAAGUUUUAUAAAUUUAUAUGCUAGCUCGUAAACAUUGUAAAAUGCCUUUUUGACAAAUCUAAUAAACAUAACAAAAUGCCCUGUCA